UGUGAUGGGGAGCGAAAUUUAGUAGCGAAGUAGCUGAUUUCACACUGUCAAGAAAAGUCUCUAUCGAGGUUAAAGGUACCCGUACCGCAAACCGACACAGGUGGGUGAGGAGAGUAUCCUAAGGCCAGCGAGAGAACUGUUGUUAAGGAACUCGGCAAAAUGACCCCGUAACUUAGGGAUAAGGGGUGCCACCAUCAGGUGGCCGCAGAGAAUAGGCCCAAGCGACUGUUUACCAAAAACAUAGGUUUCUGCUAAGUCGCAAGACGACGUAUAGGAGCUGACGCCUGCCCGGUGCUGGAAGGUUAAGGGGAUCUGUUAGAGCAAUCGAAGCAGUGAACUUAAGCCCCAGUAAACGGCGGCCGUAACUAUAACGGUCCUAAGGUAGCGAAAUUCCUUGUCGGGUAAGUUCCGACCGACGAAAGGCGUAACGAUUUGGGCACUGUCUCA
rnacentral:rRNA from 1 species